GACGUAGGGCGCGAGCGUUGUCCGGAUUUAUUGGGCGUAAAGAGCUCGUAGGCGGCUUGUCGCGUCGACCGUGAAAACUUGUGGCUCAACCACAAGCUGGCGGUCGAUACGGGCAGGCUGGAGUUCGGUAGGGGAGACUGGAAUUCCAGGUGUAGCGGUGAAAUGCGUAGAUAUCUGGAGGAACACCGGUGGCGAAGGCGGCAUCCUGGACCGGUAUUGACGCUGAGGCGCGAAAGCUAGGGGAGCAAACGGG
rnacentral:rRNA from 1 species